UGGGGAAUAUUGCACAAUGGGCGAAAGCCUGAUGCAGCAACGCCGCGUGAGUGAUGAAGGCCUUCGGGUUGUAAAGCUCUGUCUUUUGGGACGAUAAUGACGGUACCAAAGGAGGAAGCCACGGCUAACUACGUGCCAGCAGCCGCGGUAAUACGUAGGUGGCAAGCGUUGUCCGGAUUUACUGGGCGUAAAGGAUGCGUAGGCGGAUUUUUAAGUGAGAUGUGAAAACCCUAAGCUUAACUUGGGGACUGCAUUUCAUACUGGAAAUCUAGAGUGCGGGAGAGGAGAAUGGAAUUCCUAGUGUAGCGGUGAAAUGCGUAGAGAUUAGGAAGAACACCAGUGGCGAAGGCGAUUCUCUGGACCGUAACUGACGCUGAGGCAUGAAAGCGUGGGUAGCAAACAGGAUUAGAUACCCUGGUAGUCCACGCCGUAAACGAUGAGUACUAGGUGUAGGAGGUAUCGACCCCUUCUGUGCCGUAGUUAACACAAUAAGUACUCCGCCUGGGAAGUACGAUCGCAAGAUUAAAACUCAAAUGAAUUGACGGGGUCAUAGCUG
rnacentral:rRNA from 1 species